CUCCCACCUGUGCCCCUGCCCCGAGCUGUGCCUGCUCCUUCCCUCCCAAGCCGUGCCCAGGUGGGUGCCCACGGUGGGCACCAGCUGUGCCACAGCAGUGCCCGUGGGGCUCCUCACCUGCGUGGGGUUCCCCGACCACCUCCAGAGCUGGCGCGCGGGCAGGAAGGCGGAGAUCUUUGGCCGGUUUUCCACCGAGGGCAGGCGCUGCCGCCGGGAGAACUCUUUGGCUUUGGCGAAGCUGAGGGGAUCCUUGCGCUUGAGCUUGGCCUUGGGGCCGGCGGCGGCCGCCUUGGACAGGAAGCAGCGCUGGGGCGCGGCACCCUUGGGCCGCAGGGCGUCCGGCUGCGCCAGCAGCGCCGGCACUGGGUGCGACAGGCAGGUCUGCAGCAGCAGCGCCGAGUCCUCGUCCUCCGAGCUAUAGGAGGAGUCCUCAUUGUCGGAGGAACACAGGCUGGACGUGGAGAUGGAGCCGGAGCUGGACGAGGUGGAGGAGCCCGAGGAAGAGGAGGACAUGGAAAGGCGCGUCAUGAAGCGCGAGGGGACGUCGGCGCCGAGCCCGCCCGCGUCCUCGUCCUCGUCCAUGUCCGAGUAGGAGCUGUGGCAGUCGCUGUCACAGUUCAGGGCGAAGUCCCCGUGCCCCGAGUACUUGCGCAGCGCCAGCCCCACGGGCAGCGGGUGCGUGGCCCCGCGGCCCCGGCGCUCCCGGCCGCCCAGCCCGGUGUGGCCGUAGCCGUGGCUGCCCAGCGGCCGCUCCAGCCUGGCCCCGAAGUCCUUCUCGGCCAACAGCAGCGCCUUGCACGUCUUGUUCUUGGGGGAUGUCACCCCUUCGUGGUCCAGCUUGACCAGGAACUCGCCACCUGCCGCCUUCCUGCGCCCGCUCCUGCCCACCUCAGCCUCCAGCCGCUCGGCUUUCUUGGAGCGCAGGAGCUUCUGGGCCGCCGGCAGCACCAGCCCAGCACCGGCGCCGAAGGAGCCAUAGGAGCUGGCGAUGCGGCCAAAGGAGUCGGCACCGAAGGCGUUGCCGAAGACGGGGGCGGCGAGGUGGUGGUGGUGGUGGUGCAGAGGGAAGAGGGUCUCCUUGGCCCGCAGCUUCUUGGUGCUGCCGUUGACCUGGAAGAGGUUCUGGAGCACGGCCGAGCCCUUGUUCGCCGCCUUCCGCUUGGUCUGUGCCACGGCGGCCCAGCUGAGCAGGGACCCUCCACGCCGCCCGGCCGCCGAGUCCCCCAGCGCCGGCCCCCGGCCCCCCGACAGCCCCUCCAUGGCCUUGCCUGUGGAACACAGGGGUCAGGAGGCCACAAGAGCAGGGAGGGAGGGGUGCUCUGGGGCUGA
rnacentral:lncRNA from 1 species